rnacentral:rRNA from 1 species
UACAGAGGGUGCGAGCGUUAAUCGGAAUUACUGGACGUAAAGCGUGCGUAGACGGCUAUCUAAGUCGGGUGUGAAAGCCCCGGGCUCAACCUGGGAAUUGCAUUCGAGACUGAAUAGCUAGGGUACGGUAGAGGGAAGCGGAAUUUCUGGUGUAGCGGUGAAAUGCGUAGAUAUCAGAAGGAACAUCAGUGGCGAAAGCGGCUUCCUGGUCCAGUACCGACGUUCAGGCACGAAAGCGUGGGGAGCAAACAGG